GACGAACGCUGGCGGCGUGCUUAACACAUGCAAGUCGAACGGGUCUGCCCUGUUUUUUGCGGGGUGGGUCAGUGGCGAACGGGUGAGUAACACGUGAGUAACCUGCCCCUCACUUCUGGAUAACCGCUUGAAAGGGUGGCUAAUACGGGGUGUUCUGGCUGUGCCGCAUGGUGUGGCUGGGAAAGAUUCACUUUUGUGGUGUUUUGGUGGGGGAUGGGCUCGCGGCCUAUCAGCUUGUUGGUGGGGUGAUGGCCUGCCAAGGCUUUGACGGGUAGCCGGCCUGAGAGGGUGGGCGGUCACGCUGGGACUGAGAUACGGCCCAGACUCCUGCGGGAGGCAGCAGUGGGGGGUAUUGCACAAUGGGCGGAAGCCUGAUGCAGCGACGUCGCGUGAGGGAUGGAGGCCUUCGGGUUGUGAACCUCUUUCGCCGGUGAAGAAGGUCCUGCUCUUUGUGGUGGGGUUGACGGUCGCCGGGUUAUGAAGCGCCGGCUAACUACGUG
rnacentral:rRNA from 1 species